rnacentral:rRNA from 1 species
CUGUACGAAUAAGGACCGGCUAACUCCGUGCCAGCAGCCGCGGUAAUACGGAGGGUCCGAGCGUUAUCCGGAAUCAUUGGGUUUAAAGGGUCCGUAGGCGGGCCUAUAAGUCAGGGGUGAAAGGCCACGGCUCAACCGUGGGACUGCCCUUGAUACUGUAGGUCUUGAGUCAUAGUGAGGUUGCCGGAACAUGUGGUGUAGCGGUGAAAUGCAUAGAUAUCACAUAGAACACCGAUCGCGAAGGCAGGUGGCCAACUAUGUACUGACGCUGAUGGACGAAAGCGUGGGUAGCGAACGGGAUUAGAUACCCCGGUAGUCCACGCCGUAAACGAUGGAUACUAGCUGUGGGGCGUAAGCUCCGUGGCCMAGCGAAAGUGAUAAGUAUCCCACCUGGGGAGUACGUUCGCAAGAAUGAAACUCAAAUGAAUUGACGG